rnacentral:rRNA from 1 species
AUGCUUUUGACGGGUGACGGGGAAUUAGGGUUCGAUUCCGGAGAGGGAGCCUGAGAAACGGCUACCACAUCCAAGGAAGGCAGCAGGCGCGUAAAUUACCCAAUCCUGACGCAGGGAGGUAGUGACAAGAAAUACUGAUACAGGGUCCUUUAGGGUCUUGUGAUUGGAAUGAGUACAAUUUAAACCCCUUAACGAGGAACAACUAAAGGGCAAGUCUGGUGCCAGCAGCCGCGGUAAUUCCAGCUUUAGUAGCAUACAUUAAAGUUGUUGCAGUUAAAACGCCCGUAGUUGAACGUUGGUUCUUGCCGGCCGGUCCGCCUCACCGCGAGCAUUGGUUUUGGCAGAACUUUUUUUCUUGGAGAUCCGCAUGCCCUUUGCUGGGUGUGUAGGGGAACCAGGACUUUUACUUUGAAAAAAUUAGAGUGUUCAAAGCAGGCAUUAGCUCGAAUAUCUUAGCAUGGAAUAAUAAAAUAUGACAAGUGGUUAUUUUUUAUUGGUUAUAUAACCGUUGUAAUGAUUAAUAGGGAUAGUUGGGGGCAUCGGUAUUCAAUUGUCAGAGGUGA